rnacentral:lncRNA from 1 species
CCCUACAUCCUCCCACAACAGAGAGAGAAGGUUCUGUUAGAGUUCCCUACAUCCUCCCACAACAGAGAGAGAGAAGGUUCUGUUAGUGUUCCCUACAUCCUCCCACAACAGAGAGAGAGAAGGUUCUGUUAGAGUUCCCUACAUCCUCCCACAACAGAGAGAAGGUUCUGUUAGUGUUCCCUACAUCCUCCCACAACAGAGAGAGAGAAGGUUCUGUUAGUGUUCCCUACAUCCUCCCACAACAGAGAGAGAGAGAAGGUUCUGUUAGUGUUCCCUACAUCCUCCCACAACAGAGAGAGAAGGUUCUGUUAGAGUUCCCUACAUCCUCCCACAACAGAGAGAGAGAAGGUUCUGUUAGUGUUCCCUACAUCCUCCCACAACAGAGAGAGAAGGUUCUGUUAGAGUUCCCUACAUCCUCCCACAACAGAGAGAGAGAAGGUUCUGUUAGUGUUCCCUACAUCCUCC